UACAGAGGGGGCAAGCGUUGUUCGGAAUUACUGGGCGUAAAGGGCGCGUAGGCGGCCUUCUAAGUCGAACGUGAAAUCCCUGGGCUCAACCCAGGAACUGCGUCCGAUACUGGAAGGCUUGAAUCCGGGAGAGGAAUGCGGAAUUCCAGGUGUAGCGGUGAAAUGCGUAGAUAUCUGGAGGAACACCGGUGGCGAAGGCGGCAUUCUGGACCGAUAUUGACGCUGAGGAGCGAAAGCCAGGGGAGCAAACGGG
rnacentral:rRNA from 1 species